GAUGCCCCGCUCUCUACCCCACCCCGCCGGGCUCGGCCCAGGCCCGGCCCGCAGCGCGGAGCGGGAAGGCCGCUCCCAUCCGACGCAGCGACCGGGAUGAGAUUUGGCGAAAGGCGCCUCCCCAGUCCCCCACUGAGCGCAGGGCCGCCGCGCCAGCGGCAGGGGAAGGGCGCGAGGAGGGACUGACGGUUGGGGGAACCCCCGUAACUCCCCCUAACCGCCACCCAGUCCCCAGCGCAAGCGCCUCUCCCGCACCCCCCACUCUGGCGCCGGCCAAUCGCAACACUGCGCACGUGACGAGCGUUCCCUGCGAUGACCUCAUCCCUGGUGUGGGAUGACGUCAAAUUCAAGAUGGAUGGAAUCACGGCGGUGGCAGCAGCGCGCGCGGGCGAAUCGUGAAGGGAGGCGCCGAGGGGGGCAGCAGGGUGGGGUGCGGCUAACGGCGGAGAAGAUAAAUCCAAAUCAUGGAGGGGCUCUUGCAUUACAUAAACCCAGCACAUGCCAUUUCUCUCUUAAGUGCUUUGAAUGAGGAACGUCUAAAAGGACAGCUAUGCGAUGUUAUUCUUAUAGUGGGAGACCAAAAAUUUAGAGCUCAUAAAAAUGUUCUGGCUGCCAGCAGUGAAUACUUCCAGACUCUCUUCACAAAUAAAGAGAAUGAGUCCCAAUCAGUGUUUCAACUUGACUUCUGUGAACCAGAUGCUUUUGAGAAUGUAUUAAACUACAUUUACUCUUCGUCUUUGUUUGUUGAGAAAAGCAGUCUUGCGGCUGUUCAAGAAUUGGGCUACAGCCUUGGAAUUUCCUUUCUUACCAACAUUGUUUCUAAGAGUCCUCAAGCUCCUUUUCCAGCAUGUCCCAUUAAAAAAAUACUGUUUCAAGAAGAAGAUGAAAGCGGUUCUCAGAAGAGAAGUGUCAUUGUUUGUCAGAGCAGAAAUGAAGCACAAGUUAAAAAUGUCAGUCAAACACAUGAUUUAAGCCAUAGCUCUAAGCCUUCACACUCCAUUGCCAUCAAAACAAACAAUAGGCCACAAGUAACAAAACCAAUUGAACCACUUCACAGUUUAUCAUUAAGUGACAGGAGGUGGCUAAAAGACAGUCCUGUGAGCUACACUAAACUUCAUGAACCUUCUGGAACUGUGGAUGACCAAAGUAGAAGUGGCUUGGUGAAGAGGAAUGCAGUAUUGCCACAAAAGCCUUUAGCUGAGAAAGAAACUUCAUGUGAUGAGCCAGGAGUGAGUGGUCAGCUUCUAAGAGGAAAAGCUGCAGAGAUGUCAUUAAAAAGACCACGUCCUCCAAUCUUAUCUCUGCAUGGUUCAUCAGAAUCUACAUUUUUGUUGCGAGAGACAGGAAAAGGAAAUGGUCAAGGAGAAGAUAGGAAUUUGCUAUACUACUCAAAAUUAGGACUAGUGGUUCCAUCUAGUGGAUCUGGUCCUGAAAACCAAAGUAUUGACCGGAGUGGCCCACUUGUAAAAAGUCUCCUUCGAAGGUCAUUGUCCAUGGAUAGUCAGGUUCCUAUUUAUUCAUCUUCUAUUGAUUUAAAAGCUUCACAUGGAUCAUCAUUGGUGACUAGUGACUCACAGGGAAAAACAUUUAAUGUUACAUCUCAAAAGUCAUCCUUGAAAGAGUCUUCAGAAAAGGCUGUCCUAGAUGACAAGACACAGGUAAUACACCCACACCGCCUUAGGUCCUUUAGUGCCUCUCAGUCAACUGAUAGGGAGGUAGCUUCUCCUCUAACUGAUGUACGAAUAAAAACUGAACCUAGCAGCCCACUUUCAGAGCCUUCUGAAAUAAUAAGAGUUACAGUAGGAGAUGCUUCAACAUCUGCCAGUAAAGACUUCCCUUUUAAAACUGAGGAUGAUAAUAGGGAUAUGAGUAGACUUCCAGCAAAAAGGAGGUUUCAAGCAGAUAGAAGGCUACCAUUUAAAAAACUGAAAGUGAAUGAGCAUGGUUCUCCUGGGUCAGAGGAUAAUUUUGAGGAAAGUUCAAGUCCUACGCGUCUUGAUGCUGAUUUUCCAGAUUCUGAUGUCAGUAAAGAUGAAUACAGUGAAUUGGAAGAAGUGAGACCAAACAAAAAGUUUAAAUGCAAGCACUGCCUUAAGAUUUUCAGAUCUACAGCAGGCCUUCAUCGUCAUGUUAAUAUGUAUCAUAAUCCAGAGAAACCAUAUGCUUGUGAUAUAUGCCACAAGAGAUUUCAUACAAACUUCAAAGUAUGGACUCAUUGCCAGACACAGCAUGGAAUUGUGAAGAACCCCUCACCUGCUUCCAGUUCACAUGCUGUCUUGGAUGAAAAAUUCCAAAGAAAAUUAAUUGAUAUUGUGAGAGAGAGAGAGAUUAAGAAAGCACUGAUUGUUAAACUACGACGUGGCAAACAAGGUUUUCAGGGACAGUCCACUUCACAAGCACAGCAAGUCAUCAAAAGGAACUUAAGAUCAAGAUCCAAAGGAGCCUACAUUUGUACCUACUGUGGGAAAGCUUAUCGUUUUCUCUCCCAAUUUAAACAGCACAUAAAAAUGCAUCCAGGGGAAAAACCAAUUGGAGGAAAUAAGGUUUCUAAGCAAAAAGAGCACAUUCAUAUUGCAAGUCCAGUUGAAAACAAAGAGGUCUAUCAGUGCCGUCUUUGUAAUGCCAAGCUCUCCUCUCUUAUUGAACAGGGAAAUCAUGAGCGACUUUGUAGAAAUGCAACAGUCUGUCCUUAUUGCAGCCUUAGAUUUUCUUCUCCAGAGCUGAAGCAUGAACAUGAAAGCAAGUGUGAAUAUAAGAAGCUCACUUGUCUUGAAUGUAUGCGCACUUUUAAAUCCUCCUUUAGUAUUUGGCGUCAUCAAGUUGAAGUUCACAAUCAAAAUACCAUGGCCCCAACAGAGAAUUUUUCUUUACCUAUUCUUGAUCACAAUGGUGAAAUAACGAAUGCGUCAAGAUUACAUUCUCAAUCAGAAUCUAAUAAAAUGAACAAUUUUGUUACUGCAAAGGAAGAUGGAGUAUUCAGUGAUUCUUCAGAACAAAUUAAUUUUGAUUCUGAAGAUUCUUCAUGCCUCCCUGAAGAUCUAAGUGUUUCCAAACAGUUUAAAAUUCACGUCAAAGAAGAGCCUGCAGACGAUAUAGAGGAUGAGGUCACUGAAACCAACAGAGAAGCUAAGGAAGUAGUUUCUAAUAAAGUCACUGGCUUGUGGCCCUGUGAAAAAUGUGGAAAAAUUUUUACUGUACACAAGCAGUUGGAGCGUCACCAGGAGCUUUUGUGCUCUGUAAAACCAUUUAUUUGUCAUGUGUGCAACAAGGCCUUCCGGACCAACUUCCGUCUGUGGAGCCACUUCCAGUCUCAUAUGUCACAGGCUGCAGAGGAAUCAGUGAAUAAAGAUGCUGAGAUAUGUCCACCAGCUAACUCCCCAUCACCGCCACCUCUGCCUCCACCCCCACCUCUACCCAAAAUCCAGCCCUUAGAGCCUGAUAGUCCGACAGGUUUAUCUGAGAGCCCAACUACUACUGAGAAAUUAUUUGUUCCACAAGAAUCGGACACGCUCUUUUAUCAUGCUCCACCACUUUCAGCAAUCACGUUCAAAAGACAAUAUAUGUGUAAACUUUGUCACAGGACAUUCAAGACUGCAUUUAGUCUUUGGAGCCAUGAACAGACACACAAUUAGCUAGAGAUCUUCAACAGGUAGUUUAAAAAGCUGGUUAAAUGGAGACCAUUUCCAGGAUAUUUCAGAAGUAUGCCAUAUAAACUAGAAAUCUAAGGGGACAAGAAACAUCAAAAAAGUAAAGAUGGAUUUAUGAUGCUGCUUGGAUUUGAAGAUUAAGGAGAAGAAAUCUAUGUGGACAAAAUGUGAAAGCAAGGUAUUAAAAUUGGUGCCUAAGUUUUCACCAUUGAUUCCCGUACAAAACAGCAUGAUAUUUCCUUUUUAGUUUGUUGACAGUCUGUACGUAGCCUUCUAAGAAUGAGUAUACCCUUCUAAGAGAAAAUAUGAUGACCAGUUCAGCUAUCAAAUAAUCAUAAUUUUCAACUGAAGCACUUCUUUGAUGCAUUUUUGGUAUACUAAGAUUAUAAAUAGCACACACAUAACAACCUUGUGCUAUAUUUUGAAGAAGUCUUGAUUUUUCCCCCCAAGUGUAAUAUAUAUUGUAAAAGUCAGAAAAAAGUGGAUAUAACUAGUUUCCUUUAUAAAUUUGUUAGAUUAUUUUUAAAAGUUUGUUUUAAUUUUGAGCAUGUUCUGUGCUUUUUUAAAAUUAGUUCCUGUUUGUUGUCCAAUAAAGGAAUACAGGCUCUCUAAAUAAAGUUUUAAAUAUGAGAUAUUUAUAUAGCAAUUCUGGUUUUCUAUUAGCUUUUAUACAGUACCUUAAAAAGCCCUGAGACAGAAGUGUUUACUUUGGAGGAUAUGGAAUAAAUAUGCUUCCACUCAUGUAAUUUUAAUAUAUGUUAGAAAAGUUAAAUUAUGGAAGAAAUUGUUAGUUGCUUGUUUAUACAAUAAAGGUCUUUUUAAAGAAUGUCUAGUUUGGCCAUAACAAGAAUGAUAGGCAAAUUAUUGAUACAAAAAAACCUGUCUUCUUCAUAUUUGGUUUAGUUUUGCAACUGUGUGAAUUGGGUACUAAAGGCCUUGGCUUUUUUGUCUGAUUAUUUAACAAUUGCAGAAAGUUUGUAUGAUUUCUCUUAAACUUUGAGGUUUUGUGCUCUUUUUCAUAUGGCAUGACGGAACAUGCAGAUGUUUUAAUAUAUACUUUAGAAUUUAAUUCUUUCUUCGUUUGUUUUGUCCUCCAUCAACAAAAUUUGACAGAGACUCAUCUUGUUCCAACUCAAGUAGGUGACAAUUCCUGUUUACUUUAGUAGGAACAGGAUUGGGCCUGUGAAGUAAAGCUAGUUCAUGUAGGUACUGAUUCAGCUAAGCACAUGCUUAAGUCCCACUGCAGUCAUUGGGCCUUAAAACAUGAUUAACUUUAAGCAUAUGCUUAAGUGCUGUGCUGAAUUGGGGCCAUAAUCAACCACUCAAAGUAAGCAAUGGAAAUAAUUACAUGUUGUGGACUUUUAAAUGGUAGAAACAAAAAUGUUAUAAGUGAAUGUUCUUCUGAAUAAAGGCUACAUAUAUAGUUAGUGUGUAAUUCUGCAAUUUUACCAAAAUAGACAAAGGACAUGAAAUGGUAUUGCUACUCUAAUUUUGUAACUUUUUUUAAAGAAAACAAUAGACAGUUAAACUUCAGAGAUGGCAGUUGAGUUGUCAGUCUCAUUUCAGAACACAACUAUAGCCUUACAACCCUCCAGUGAACCAAAACACACAGCUGUAGGGGACCUGCUCCUGCAUUCUCUCCUUGGGCAAUGCUCCCAUUGACAUCCAUGAGGCUUUUUGCCCAAGUAGGAAGUGCAGGUUUCUUCCAGAUCUGUAUUGUACUCUGAGGCCUUGUCUACACUACGGGGGACGAUCAAUCUAAGUUACGCAACUUCAGCUACGUGAAUAACGUAGCUGAAGUUGAUGUACUUAGAUCUACUUAUCGCGGAAUCCACACUACGCAGUGUCAACUGGAGAUGCUCUCCCGUUAACUCCCCUUGCGCUUCCCGUUCAGGUGGAGUACAGGAGUUGACGGGAGAGUGAUCGGCGGUUGAUUUAGCGGGUCUUCACUAGACGCACUAAAUCGACUGCUGAUGCAUCAAUCACUGCACGUCAAAUCCCUGAUAAGUGUAGACAAGGUCUAAGAUUUUGCCCAAAACUUCUAUUGACAUCAGUGGAAGUUCCUCAUGUGGGACAAGGAUAGAAUAUGGCCCUAACUCCUGAGCACUAGCAGUUAUGGUGCAAAUAUCUGGCAUGUGCCUAUAAAAGCUGGCAUGUGCCUGUACUGUCUGUUUACAUUUUCUUACCAGAAGUUCUAGAUGCAAAUCAAAGCAAGAUAGAUUUUUUUUUAUGUUGUAAUUAGUGAAUCAGUGUUAAAAAAUUUUGUGUUGAACUCAGCCUGAUAGUAUUUGGGUUUUUGUUUUGAAGUCCUAUUGAUUCUCGUUUGUUUAAAAUGACUUGUGACAAAAAUUGUACUAACUAUUGUACAUAAAGGGAUACUAUCAUGAUAAACAUACUGUAAACAUCCUUACCUGUGUUAACAAUACUUGAUACUAAUAAAGCUAAUAUAAUUUUUAAACCCCAGUUGUUAAUAUUUUAGAUGUUUGGGCAUGAAAAUCCCAGAUAGGGAUACCCUCAAACUUUGGCAGUGUGUCUGAAAUAUGGAUCUGAGCUUUGUGGAUCUGUUGUAUUUUGCUAUUCUGAGACAGUUAAAACAGACAAAUCAGUUUCCUUUUCUAGUUCUCAUACACUGGCACAAAUAUUGUGUUUGGGUUUCCACCACUGUAGCAAAGUGUUAAAUUUAAAAUACCCUUUAAAAUACAAUAUUUGAAAACUUAUGAAUAGUUACAAAAUCAAAACAUCAGAGUUUAACCUUGACAGUGUCCCUUUUUAAAACAACAGGAAAAAUGGGAUCACUUGUAGUGUUUGGAAAAAGUCUCCUACGCUUUGUGGAAGUUGGAAUAAUCCAACAUAAACAUGCAAACUGUAAUAUUUUCCAAUUUAAAGUUACAUAAAAUCACUUGUCAUUUUAAAGUGUUAUAGAUUAAGACAAAUAAAAGCUGUUUUUUAUAAUCCUGUAUAUCAUGUAGCCAUUGUAUAUUAGUUCAGUUACAUCAGUGUUGGAUUUUAAUUAAUAGGUUUUUACUUUUUUAGGACUGAGAAUUAAUAGUUUAGAAUAACUCUUCCUUUAAUGUAAUGUAAAUCCAUUGCUGCUUUGUAUGACUUUUUCUACUGUGUGUUUUCUUUACUUAGAUUUUGACUAAGAAAUGUUGGAGUCCAAUAAACUUACACUUGUUUCUUUUGA